CCCGCCCGGUCUCUCUUCCUCUCCCCCGCCUCGCCCCUCCCCUCCCGUCCCCUCCCCCCUCUGGCCGGUGCGGUGCGGGAGCAGUCUGUCCGCGCUUCCUCCGAGGUCGGGCUAGGGAGCGGAUCUCCAAGCGCUCUAGGCCGAGCUUGGCGCUCCGAGGUGGUGCUUCGACCCUAGAGCCUGCGCCGGCCCUCCCCCUUCCCCCCUCCCCCACCCCCGGUGCUGCAGCUGUAGCGGGGGUGGAGGGAUCGGGGGAAGAGUGUGACCCGUGAAUGCUGGGCGGGGCGGGGCAGCUUUAAAAACUUCUGAAAGGCCACGUUCAAAGCCUCCAGGGACCGAACUUGGGCCGGAAGGCGGUUUCCACGGAGGGGGCCUAAAAGGGGGCGGAGGGUGCACCUGCAGGGCCGGGAGCGCGCUGCCUGGGAAGAGGGUCUGGGUUCCCGGGAACCCUGAAGCCCGGGCCCGGCACUCGGCACCUGGCCCCAGCCUCCUCCGCUCCAAGCCCUCGCCCCCUCGGGGAGCCAGCGGCCCCUCCCGGGACCUUGCUUUCAUCCUCCCCGCGGGACGGCAGUGGGGCGGGGUGGGAGCCUUUUUGGGCCGCGUGUUCCCUGCGGGGUCUUCCUUCCCUCCGGCCCCUCCUUAAGAACCAGAGGUUUCGCAGCAAAGUUGAAUUCCCGGAUUUUAAUUCCAGUCCACCCGGGUGGGAGACGGCUGAGGAAGUGGGACUCCUACCCCCAUAAAAAUCACUGGGGAGGGUGAGAAGGAGGAGAAAACGAGAGGAGGGGGCCCACGCUGGGGGUGGGGAGGUGGGUAGAGGGUGGCCAGGGUCGCAUAGUGGCGAAUCGGAUAGUGGUCUGGGCGGGCGGCGUCUGUGCGCCUCGGCUGUGCCAUCUGGGGGGCACAUCGGGAGGGGCAACCGCUGGCCAGGGCCGCUCUUGAACAGACAGCUGACGCGGUCCCUCGCGGGGCAGAGGGGGAAGGACUAAAGGGAUUUUCACUAGUAUGAGGAUCUCCAGGCCCAAAGUCCUUCCUAUAGAGGCUCUUGAAUUAAUUAGGUAAAUGAUUUCCUUCAUUGAUAGUUUCUGAAGAAGACAUUUUCUUGUACCUUCUGAAAUUGAGCACUUUAGCCAGGUAGCAAAUACAGGGAGGAUCCCCUUAAGACGGUGUCCACUCCUGUGGCCUCUCGGGGUGUGAAGUGAUGGGUGGGUUAGUGGGAGCACUUGGGGAUACGUAGACAUGGAAUCGAACAAAGUUCGUGAGUUAGUUAAGGAAGAAAAAGAGCUACUGAAAAUAGAGUCGCUUGAAAAUAAACAACAUAAAGUUUAUUAUUUUGCUUGGAGUCCUUUUCCUUGAUCUGAGAAAGUAAAAUAAGUGAGAAUUCGGUUAUUUUUGUCCAAUUAGCAUUUAUUACAUUUUCUCAAAGGUCUUGAAAGAAUUAUUUUAGUAAAUUUUAAGAACAGUAGUGCUGGCAUUACAGAGAUGAGGCGAACCGAUCGCUAGGCUCCAGGAGAGUUUAGCUGCAACGCUAACUCUUCAAAUUUAGUGUCAACUUUACUUAUUUUAAAAAAAAAAAUAGGGCAACGUUUUUAUUAACUCAUAACUUUAGGAGGUAGGGAACAGUAAGAAGGAAAGAGACCUAAGGAAAAAUAAAGCAAUGAGAACAAAAAGAAACGAGAUUGAUUGUAACAGUCUGAUCUUCAGUGAGUCCCAAGUCAGCAUUCUAAUACAGUGCACAUUUCUGGUGGCCUUGACUUUACCUGCAAUAUUGGUGGGCCCGGUCUCUAAGCGCUUCCUAAGAAAGAACAAGCUUAAGCAAAAUGUGUUCUCUUUUGUGAAGGUCUAGCACUUACUUAAUGAAGUUGCUCCAACAGAAAAAGGGGUCCUCCUGCUCUCGGGUGACCUGAGCAGAUUUUACUGCUGUAAAAUCGGCAGGUGUGCGCAGCAUCCGCAGCGCAAGAGCCCGGACCUGGUGAGCCAGAGUGCCGAUGACCGGAGUACCUUGCCCUGGCAUCUUAGCAGACAAGAACUGGCACGUUGAAACUGUCCAUGUGAUGGACAAAGGGAUCAAGUUUCUUACAGACAUGCCCACUUUGCAGUCCAACAUUCUCCUGUAUACAGGGUGAAAGCAACAUUUUUAUCCCUUAAGACUAAAAUGUAACCUUUAAAAGGAGUUGAAAGCAUGGUCAGGGCUCACAGGUCAAGUACAACUUAUCUGGUAAAGAGCAAGAAACUUUGUAAAAGUUGGAAUUGCCAGUCAAAGAGAUAGUUUAAGAUGCUACAAAUAGCCUGGUCACCACAAGAGAACCAGAAAUACUUGGGGGUGCAUUUGUGUUUGUGAAGGGGGCAGGUAAUUGAGACUUGGUUUGCUAUUGUUUGAAUGAUUUGAGGUUUACGGAAAGCAGACCUUAUUCUCAUGAAGCUGGAAGGCUGUACUUUCUGGGCAAAAUACUCUUGGUGAUUUCACCCUCAGAGUUGUGGGCUCUAAGACCUUUGCAAGCACCCUUGACCAGAGAAAUCACACAUCUAGCAAACUGCAACUUUUCUCUUGAGUUCAUUAUACAAAAUGCACAAACCUUGAUUGUUAAAUAAUUUAGGUGGUGUUUUCUCUCAGAAAGAAAACUCCAGGGAGAAUUUCUGGAGAUAAGGGCUACAUUAGAGCCCAUUCCUUACCAGUGGGGCAGGGGGUCAGACAACAUUCUGGCACAAACACACAUCUUUGCCUGAACCGGCACCUACAUUCCCACCCUGGGUGCACACACUGCCAGCUGAAGAACAAAAGUUUAUCCACCCCAAGUGGAUAAGGAGUAAGGCUUGAUGCAGAGUUCAAACACAAAUGCACAAAACACUAAAGGGCGCGGGGGCGGGGCGGGGGGGGGGGGGGGGCGCUUAACUCUGAGUGUUAAGAAGGGUUACCUCCAAGCAGCCAGGGACUUCCAGCAAGCAGUGAAAAAGAGCCCCAGAGGUCUGCAACCUGUCAGCUCCAGGGGUAGUCCCGCCAGCCCCACAAUAUCGGUGCUGUGGUUCAAAAGUUGGAAACUGCGGUUUUUAAUUGAGUCAGGGUCCUGCCUCCCCGUUUCCUCUUCAGCGGCCCCGCUCGGUAAGCGGAUUUGCUUUUCCAUGCAUCGCUGGCAAGUUGCUUUUAGGAAACCUAGCUUCUGCGAAACGUUUUAAACAUGGUAAUAUAUUGCAGCCUUAUGAAAUCCCCCUCCAGAAGUGCGUGAAAGAGGCUCUGUUUUCCUGAAGGAUUUGGGGACUUUACUAUCUGAGCAAAGGCUGGCUCAGAAUCCUAGGAAGGCUUGGAUUCACUUCACAUCCACUCACGUGAAGGCAGCGUAUUUUGUUUUUGGUUUUGUUGUUUGGUUUGGUUCUUAACGCCUAGAAGAUUUUAAACUCACAUAAUACUCCCUCGAAAAGAGGUGGGGGGGACAUUGAACGUGUUUCCUUCUCUCCAAGAUACCCUAGAAGGUAUUUGUCUGGGAGAAGCGAUGCUGAGCUGGUGGAAUCACCAAUUAAUAUGGAGAACUAGGCCGUCUGGGCCAAGUUCCCCAGGCAUGGAGACGCGGAGGGGAGGGGAUAAAAGUCUCUCACAAGUCGCCACUAGGAAAGAGGGUGGCAGAGCAGAGAGCCCCUUCAAAAGUUCAGCUGUGCUGGGCGUCUGAUCUUCCUUCCAAGACCGCUCGCCAGGGAGCCCCGCGGGUUUCAGCUUCCACUCAAAAGAGAUUGUGUUAAUCAGAUUGACAAAGUGGAGUCGAGCACGCACUAACUAGCGCUCGGAACACAACUUUUCUUCCUGCGCUUUCAGCAAGACGUCGUCUGGCUAACGAACUGAACCCGGCGCGUGCAGCCCUCUCAACUUGGAGUUGGACUUCACCCUCGGCGCCGCAGAUGAGAAAAGAGGGCCAUAGCAAAAGAGACCUGCUCAAGUUCACAGACCAGGACUCCACUCUGAGUUCAAUCCUUCUCCCAACCCGAAUUCAUCCUAAGAGUUCAUAAAGAUGUGUUCCUGGAAUGUCUUCACCAGAUGUUUACCCAAGAAAUUACAGUCGCAGAGUCUUCAACAUGUGCGUGCAUUUUGAAAGCAGCAUUUAAGAUCUGAACUCAAUUUAUGAUUUUCUUUUCCUUAUUAAAAAAAUAAAAGGGUGGGGGCAUGUUAGUUUUGCCUGCAAGUGAGUCUUUACCGAGUCUGUGUUAACGUCACUCACUUUCACUCUGCGACGUGCUAGUCUCACAGUCUAGUUUUGUUCAGACUUUAUUUUGCUCCAAGCUCCCUUACAAGCCACUUGUCCACGCUGCAAAAGGUGGGGGUAGUGGUUGGGGUGAGGGGCUCUUUGGCUCUUUUUUCCCCCGGUUCCUAUAUGUGAUGCAAUCUGGAAUCAUUUCACUUGGCCCUCCGCGCGCGCAGAGACGCGCGCGCACACACACGCACACACGUGUACCAUGCAUGUGUGGGCCCCUAUAGAACGGUGUGGUCGCGCGUUUGUGAUUUAAAGUGGCAGGACCGAGAGCCGGACUGAAGUCGUGAAUUAUUUUGCGUGAUCAAUCAGCCCGAUCGUCUGCACACUGUACUGGCAUUAUUCACCCGAGUGCUCGGCGGUUACGGCGGACGUGCACUGCGGCAAAAACGUCCUCGGAGCCGCUAAUUUUGUGGCCACUGCGGCGGCCGCGGCGGCGGCGGCGGCGGCGACGGCUUGGGGGCGCGAGCACAGAUUGAUUUUUCAAGAUCACGUCUCCUUCAGUGCGGGUCGCCAAAUCGAAUCGAGUUGAAGCCUCACUGGAUGCAUGCGGAUUAGGUUUUGUACCUGAGAUUGUUAAAAUCCAUUUUUUUUUUUUAUUCCUUUAGAAAGACGAGCAGAGCCGUUAGUGCAGGAAAGGAGAUAUACCUUUUCUGUUUUAUUUUCCUUUUACGUUUAGGGGGAAAAAAAUGAAAAUGGCUACCACCGCUUCUUGAGCAUAGGGGAGGCCAGACCUUUGCAGACUGGGAAAUGAUGCUCGAAAUCCUUUCUUCCUUCCAUCCCUCCCUCCCUCGCCCUCAUCCUCUGCUCUGAGACAGCCUAGGGAGAAAAAUGGUCAUAUGCACUUGCGCGGGUCAUUUGUCCUCACUCUCUUUUCUAACGACAACUAGUUACCUUUUUUGUUUUUUCUUUUGACAAACUGAUCCUUUUUAUCUGGUUUCAAAUUUUUAAUAAAACGUGUCCGGAA